rnacentral:rRNA from 1 species
CUACGUAGGGUGCGAGCGUUGUCCGGAAUUACUGGGCGUAAAGAGCUCGUAGGUGGUUUGUCGCGUCGUCUGUGAAAUUCCGGGGCUUAACUCCGGGCGUGCAGGCGAUACGGGCAUAACUUGAGUACUGUAGGGGAGACUGGAAUUCCUGGUGUAGCGGUGAAAUGCGCAGAUAUCAGGAGGAACACCGGUGGCGAAGGGGGGUCUCUGGGCAGUAACUGACGCUGAGGAGCGAAAGCAUGGGUAGCGAACAGGAUUAGAUACCCUGGUAGUCCAUGCCGUAAACGGUGGGCGCUAGGUGUAGGGGUCUUCCACGACUUCUGUGCCGUAGCUAACGCAUUAAGCGCCCCGCCUGGGGAGUACGGCCGCAAGGCUAAAACUUAAAGGAAUUGACGGGG